GUGGGUAGUUUGACUGGGGCGGUCUCCUCCUAAAGAGUAACGGAGGAGCACGAAGGUUAGCUAAUCCUGGUCGGACAUCAGGAGGUUAGUGCAAAGGCAUAAGCUAGCUUGACUGCGAGAGUGACGGCUCGAGCAGGUGCGAAAGCAGGUCUUAGUGAUCCGGUGGUUCUGAAUGGAAGGGCCAUCGCUCAACGGAUAAAAGGUACUCCGGGGAUAACAGGCUGAUACCGCCCAAGAGUUCAUAUCGACGGCGGUGUUUGGCACCUCGAUGUCGGCUCAUCACAUCCUGGGGCUGAAGUAGGUCCCAAGGGUAUGGCUGUUCGCCAUUUAAAGUGGUACGCGAGCUGGGUUUAGAACGUCGUGAGACAGUUCGGUCCCUAUCUGCCGUGGGCGCUGGAGAAUUGAGGGGGGCUGCUCCUAGUACGAGAGGACCGGAGUGGACGCAUCACUGGUGUUCGGGUUGUCAUGCCAAUGGCAUUGCCCGGUAGCUAAAUGCGGAAGAGAUAAGUGCUGAAAGCAUCUAAGCACGAAACUUGCCCCGAGAUGAGUUCUCCCUGAGACUUAAAGUCUCCUGAAGGAACGUUAAAGACGAUGACGUUGAUAGGUCGGGUGUGUAAGUGUAGCGAUACAUUGAGCUAACCGAUAC
rnacentral:rRNA from 1 species